UACGGAGGGUGCAAGCGUUGUUCGGAUUCACUGGGUAUAAAGGGUGCGUAGGCGGCUUGAUAAGUCAGGGGUGAAAUAUGUCGGCUCAACCGACAAACUGCCUCUGAAACUGUCUCGCUUGAGGUCGGGAGAGGAAGGUGGAAUUCCAGGUGUAGCGGUGAAAUGCGUAAAUAUCUGGAGGAACACCGAUGGCGAAGGCAGCCUUCUGGCCCGAUUCUGACGCUGAGGCACGAAAGCCAGGGGAGCAAACGGG
rnacentral:rRNA from 1 species